UGCGUAGGUGGCAUGGUAAGUCGGAUGUGAAAUCUCCGAGCUCAACUCGGAAAUGGCAUUGGAAACUGCCGUGCUCGAGGGUUGGAGGGGGGACUGGAAUGCUUGGUGUAGCAGUGAAAUGCGUAGAUAUCAAGCGGAACACCAGUGGCGAAGGCGAGUCCCUGGACAACUCCUGACACUGAGGCACGAAAGCUAGGGGAGCAAACAGGAUUAGAUACCCUGGUAGUCCUAGCCGUAAACGGUGCACGUUUGCUGUAAAAGGAUUCGACCCCUUUUGUGGCGUAGCCAACGCGUUAAACGUGCCGCCUGGGAAGUACGGUCGCAAGAUUAAA
rnacentral:rRNA from 1 species